rnacentral:rRNA from 1 species
GACGAACGCUGGCGGCGUGCUUAACACAUGCAAGUCGAACGGUGAAGCGCCUUCCUUUUUGGUGGGUGUGGAUGAGUGGCGAACGGGUGAGUAACACGUGAGUAACCUGCCCCCUUCUUCUGGAUAACCGCAUGAAAGUGUGGCUAAUACGGGAUAUUCUGGGUCUGUCGCAUGAUGGGUCUGGGAAAGAUAUUGUUUCGGUGGGGGAUGGGCUCGCGGCCUAUCAGCUUGUUGGUGGGGUGAUGGCCUACCAAGGCGGUGACGGGUAGCCGGCCUGAGAGGGUGGACGGUCACACUGGGACUGAGACACGGCCCAGACUCCUACGGGAGGCAGCAGUGGGGAAUAUUGCACAAUGGGCGCAAGCCUGAUGCAGCGACGCCUCGUGAGGGAUGGAGGCCUUCGGGUUGUGAACCUCUUUCGCCAGUGAAGCAGGCCUGCCUCGUUUGUGGGUGGGUUGACGGUAGCUGGAUAAGAAGCGCCGGCUAACUACGUG